UGCCCCUCCCUCCCUCUCUUUCUCUCUCCACCACCACCACCACCACCUCAACCCACUGCCUCUUCCCCCUCCGCUGCGGACCUACCGAAGCCACUGCAGUCAAUCCGUCAUCCGUCGACUGAAAGCCCGAGGACAAAAUCCGAGCGACGCGCUACUGCGAGUAACGUUAUCUCGCCCAGAAAAAUAACCGUCACCGACAGCGUCCGUUCAGUUCCGCGAGAUUCGGCGCAAGGCGAAGACAACCCCGGCGACAGAAUGGGAAAUGAGGCGAGUUAUCCUUUGGAGAUGUGCUCACACUGUAAGUAUUUUGGGCUGUUGCUACAUCUUACCUCAAAUUGUUUGUUUUGUUUCCUUAAUUGCACCAGAGGUACUGAAGCAUCACUGAGUCAAACUAAAACUUCAGUGGUUCUUCCUAUAUACUGUAUAUGUAUCAGUGAUUAAGAAUCACAGCUCUAGUUGCAGAAAUAAGUGUGAAAACUUGUGAUACAGACGUUGUAUCGAGAGGAUCGAUCCUCAACUUAAAAAACUGAUACCAAAAGUUUUGACUAGUAAUUGUGCUUAUUUAUUGUGACAGUGAAUGUGCAAAAUAAACUUAGUAGGGAAAAAGUAACACCUUAUAUACUGUAUAUGUAUCAGUGAUUAAGAAUCACAGCUCUAGUUGCAGAAAUAAGUGUGAAAACUUGUGAUACAGACGUUGUAUCGAGAGGAUCGAUCCUCAACUUAAAAAAACUGAUACCAAAAGUUUUAACUAGUAAUUGUGCUUAUUUAUUGUGACAGUGAAUGUGCAAAAUAAACUUAGUAGGGGAAAAAGUAACAGACAGCUCUCAUUUAAACAGAGAGAGCUGAUGCUGACAGAGAGCGAAACUUCACUGUAUUACUAUAUAUACACACACUAUAUAAAAGCCACAGCUAAAUGUGACAUUUAUUAUAAUGGGUUAAGUGAAGACUGUUUUACAUUCACUUAAAUUAAAAGUAUAUAUAUAUUUAUUUAUUUAUUUAUUUAUUUAAUGUUCUUUUAAGAGUUGGACGUGUUAAAUGUUAAAAAUGACGGCACAGAGUAAUGCUGAAUUCCUAAUGUUGUACAUAUUUUAACCCCAGAAAUUAAUAAAAAAAAUUAAAUCCAUUUAACAGAGGCAUCAAUAAAUAGGUAUCAACAAUACUAGCAAAAAAAAAAAGAUGUAAUAAAUUAUUUUUAGUAAUGUUGUAAUAUUUUUGUUGUUUUUAUUUUGUUAGUUAUUUCCUUUUAGUUUGUUAACAUUUAAUUUUUUUAUAUAUACAUAUUAGUAAAUUUGUACUUUUUUGUGCCAUUAAAUUUUUUAUUAUUAUUAUUUAUUAUUUUUAAAAGUACCUUUUAGGUUCUUUUUGCACCAAAGUUUAUGUAGCUUAAGCCAAAUUCUGAGCCAAAUUAAUUUUGGUUAAGUGCUAGGUCUAAAACAAUGAUUUUGAACACCACCGGUCAAUAUCUGAAUUUGUUUCAGCACUCUUAAAAAAACCCAACAACAACACAACAAUACAGAAAACAGUGAUUAUGUAAUUAUUGAUCUACGGAUUAUGUAGGCAAAUACACGGUGUUGAAAGUGUGUUCAGUUCAUCUGAUGCAUAUUGUGCAUUUUUGUUUCAUUCAUUUUUAUUUCAGUUUUAGUCAUUUUAAUUUUAGUAAUUUAACUUCAAUUUGAAAUUUUGCACAUUCACAUCAUAUACAGAGAUGACCUGUGGUUAGUCACUUGCAUGUUGCUCGUGGUGGGUGAUCAGAAUAAGCAGUCAGUGUAGUCUAGUCGGGGCCUUUAAACACCUGUGCCUGCUGCUCUGGGUUCGGCUGGAGAUCAAGACAUGAGGCAGAGGGUAUCCCCUGGAUCAGUGGGGCUCUCCGGGUUUGGAGCAGGGCCAGCGCUAUAGUUCAACCAGACUAGACAGGGUGGCGUACUGUGGAAAUAAGUGCUAUAAAUGCCUCCAGCUGCUAAAGGUUAGUCUCGGGGCUGCAGGAAGAGCCUGUUUAUUUUUAGAGUUGGUGGGAGUGAGUAGAAGAACACGAGGUGAUGGUCCAUUUUUUUAAUGUUUUUUUUUUUUCUUGCUCUAUUUUAGACAUUGUAAGUACUGACAAACACAGUAGAGGAGCUUUUGGACUUCUUUUUCAGUGUAAAAGUGCUGACCAGUGCUUGACUGAAAAAUCUAGAGCCUAUCCUUUCCAUUUAUUUAAAGGCACAGUUCACCCAUAAAUCAAUAUUCUGCCAUCAUUUACUCAACAUCAUGUUGUUCCAAACCAAAAGGAGAUAUAUAUUUUUUUAUAUUUUUGUCCUAACUAGGAAUGUCAGUGAAGUCCAAAAUAUUUUUUUUAUGUUCAACAGUAAAAGUUAUAGAGUCAAGAAACUUUUAAGUAAAAAAAUACAGGUUUGGAAUGGCGUAAGGGAGAGUAAUUGAUCACAGAACCGUCAUUAUUGUGUGAACUGUCCCUUUAAGAAUGCAUUCAGAUGUAACUUACUAUAUAACUUUCCACAAAUAGACGCUUGGCUUAAUGAUUUAACUGUGCUGUAGUAAAGUUAUCA
rnacentral:lncRNA from 1 species